CCCUUGUACACACCGCCCGUCACACCGUGGGAGUUGGUUUUACCUUAAGACGGUGCGCUAACCGCAAGGAUGCAGCCGGCCACGGUAGGAUCAGCGACUGGGGUG
rnacentral:rRNA from 1 species